GACGAACGCUGGCGGCGCGCCUAACACAUGCCAGUCGAGCGAUGAAAUUUUAACCGAUCUCUUCGGAGAGAAGAUAAAAGGGAUUAGCGGCGGACGGGUUAGUAACACGUGAGAAACCUGCCUUUCACAAGGGGAUAGCUACGGGAAACCGGGAUUAAUACCCUAUGACACAUUUCCUUCGCAUGGAAGAAAUGUUAAAACUCCGGUGGUGAAAGAUGGUCGCGCGUCUGAUUAGUAGGUUGGCGGGGUAACGGCCCCCCAAGGCCAGGAUCAGUAACCGGGAAGUGAGAGUGAGCCGUGACAUUUGAGCUAGGACACAGUCCAGAAUCCUACGGGAGGCGGGAGAGGGGGAUACUGCACAAUGGAGGAAGCUCUGAUGCAGCGACGCCGCGUGAGCGAUGAAGGCUUUCGAGUAGUAAAGCUCUGUCCUAUGGGAAGGUAAUGACGGUACCAAAGGAGGAAGCCCCGGCUAACUACGUG
rnacentral:rRNA from 1 species